CAAUAGCGUAUAUUUAAGUUGUUGCAGUUAAAAAGCUCGUAGUCGGAUUUUGGCUGAGAACGAUCGGUCCGCCGUUAGGUGUGCACUGAUUGGUCUCAGCUUCCUGGUGAGGAGGUGUGCUUCACGGCCACUUAGUCACCGUGGUUACUUUGAAAAAAUUAGAGUGUUCAAAGCGGGCUUACGCUUGAAUAUAUUAGCAUGGAAUAACACCAUAGGACUCCUGUCCUAUUUCGUUGGUCUCGGGACGGGAGUAAUGAUUAAGAGGAACAGUCGGGGGCAUUCGUAUUUCAUUGUCAGAGGUGAAAUUCUUGGAUUUAUGAAAGACGAACUUCUGCGAAAGCAUUUGCCAAGGAUGUUUUCAUUGA
rnacentral:rRNA from 1 species